rnacentral:rRNA from 1 species
CGCCUCUUGUCAUUCCCCCAUAAGAGGUCCAGCCUGCCCAGUGACCCAGUUCAACGGCCGCGGUAUUCUAACCGCGCGAAGGUAGCGUAAUCACUUGUUUUCUAAAUAAAGACUAGUAUGAAAGGCAUCACGAGGAUUAAGCUGUCUCCUCUUUCUGAUCAGUGAACCUAAUCUCCCCGUGAAGAAGCGGGGAUGAAAAUAUAAGACGAGAAGACCCUGUGGAGCUUAAAACUUUGUACACUUGCCCCCCCCACUUCAUAUUAUUCAGGUACUUCACUUGAGCGGCAUUCUGAUUACACGUUUUUGGUUGGGGUGACCGCGGAGAAAAACCUAUCCUCCGCAAUGAAAAAGAAUCUUUCUUUAGCAAUAAACUACAAUCUUAUGCAUCAAAAAAUUGACACUAUCGACCCAAUAAAUUGAUCAAUGAACCAAGUUACCCCAGGGAUAACAGCACAAUCCGCUUUGAGAGCUCCUAUCGACAAGCGGGCUUAUGACCUCGAUGUUGGAUCGGGAUAUCCUAGUGGUGCAGCCGCUACUAAGGGUUCGUUUGUUCAACGAUUAAAACCCCA